UGGGAGUCGGGAUGGAAGCAUCUGGAAA
rnacentral:piRNA from 1 species